rnacentral:rRNA from 1 species
UUGCAGUCGAGCGGUAGCACAGAGAGCUUGCUCUCGGGUGACGAGCGGCGGACGGGUGAGUAAUGUCUGGGAAACUGCCUGAUGGAGGGGGAUAACUACUGGAAACGGUAGCUAAUACCGCAUAACGUCGCAAGACCAAAGUGGGGGACCUUCGGGCCUCAUGCCAUCAGAUGUGCCCAGAUGGGAUUAGCUAGUAGGUGGGGUAACGGCUCACCUAGGCGACGAUCCCUAGCUGGUCUGAGAGGAUGACCAGCCACACUGGAACUGAGACACGGUCCAGACUCCUACGGGAGGCAGCAGUGGGGAAUAUUGCACAAUGGGCGCAAGCCUGAUGCAGCCAUGCCGCGUGUGUGAAGAAGGCCUUCGGGUUGUAAAGCACUUUCAGCGGGGAGGAAGGCGUUAAGGUUAAUAACCUUGGCGAUUGACGUUACCCGCAGAAGAAGCACCGGCUAACUCCGUGCCAGCAGCCGCGGUAAUACGGAGGGUGCAAGCGUUAAUCGGAAUUACUGGGCGUAAAGCGCACGCAGGCGGUCUGUCAAGUCGGAUGUGAAAUCCCCGGGCUCAACCUGGGAACUGCAUUCGAAACUGGCAGGCUAGAGUCUUGUAGAGGGGGGUAGAAUUCCAGGUGUAGCGGUGAAAUGCGUAGAGAUCUGGAGGAAUACCGGUGGCGAAGGCGGCCCCCUGGACAAAGACUGACGCUCAGGUGCGAAAGCGUGGGGAGCAAACAGGAUUAGAUACCCUGGUAGUCCACGCCGUAAACGAUGUCGAUUUGGAGGUUGUGCCCUUGAGGCGUGGCUUCCGGAGCUAACGCGUUAAAUCGACCGCCUGGGGAGUACGGCCGCAAGGUUAAAACUCAAAUGAAUUGACGGGGGCCCGCACAAGCGGUGGAGCAUGUGGUUUAAUUCGAUGCAACGCGAAGAACCUUACCUGGUCUUGACAUCCACAGAACUUUCCAGAGAUGGAUUGGUGCCUUCGGGAACUGUGAGACAGGUGCUGCAUGGCUGUCGUCAGCUCGUGUUGUGAAAUGUUGGGUUAAGUCCCGCAACGAGCGCAACCCUUAUCCUUUGUUGCCAGCGGUUAGGCCGGGAACUCAAAGGAGACUGCCAGUGAUAACUGGAGGAAGGUGGGGAUGACGUCAAGUCAUCAUGG